rnacentral:rRNA from 1 species
UACAGAGGGGGCAAGCGUUGUCCGGAAUUAUUGGGCGUAAAGAGCUCGUAGGCGGUUUGUCGCGUCGAAUGUGAAAACCCGGGGCUCAACCCCGGGCCUGCAUUCGAUACGGGCAGACUAGAGUUCGGUAGGGGAGUCUGGAAUUCCUGGUGUAGCGGUGAAAUGCGCAGAUAUCAGGAGGAACACCGGUGGCGAAGGCGGGACUCUGGGCCGAUACUGACGCUGAGGAGCGAAAGCUAGGGGAGCAAACGGG